rnacentral:rRNA from 1 species
UGACUAAAUGUUUAACGGCCGCGGUAUUUUGACCGUGCGAAGGUAGCGCAAUCACUUGUCUUUUAAAUGGAGACCUGUAUGAAUGGCAUAACGAGGGCUUAACUGUCUCCUUUUUCCAGUCAAUGAAAUUGAUCUCCCCGUGCAGAAGCGGGGAUUACCACAUAAGACGAGAAGACCCUAUGGAGCUUUAGACACCAAGACGAGCCAUGUCACUCACCCUUAGAUAUAGAACUAAACAAAAUGGCCCCCCGUCCUAAUGUCUUUGGUUGGGGCGACCGCGGGGCAAUACAAAACCCCCACGUGGAAUGGAAGAACUCCUUCUACAGCUAAGAGCGCCAGCUCAAAUAAACAGAAAAUCUGACCUACAAGACCCGGCUUUUCAACGCCGAUCAACGGACCGAGUUACCCUAGGGAUAACAGCGCAAUCCCCUUUUAGAGCCCGUAUCAACAAGGGGGUUUACGACCUCGAUGUUGGAUCAGGACAUCCUAAUGGUGCAGCCGCU